UACGUAGGUGGCAAGCGUUGCCCGGAUUUAUUGGGUUUAAAGGGUGCGUAGGUGGCCCUGUAAGUCAGUGGUGAAAUAUCUCAGCUUAACUGAGAGGGUGCCAUUGAUACUGCAGGGCUUGAGUACAGAUGAGGUAGGCGGAAUUGACGGUGUAGCGGUGAAAUGCAUAGAUAUCGUCAAGAACACCGAUAGCGAAGGCAGCUUACCAAGCUGUAACUGACACUGAGGCACGAAAGUGUGGGGAUCAAACAGG
rnacentral:rRNA from 1 species